GUUUCACUAUGGAUAGAAACAAUCAGAGAGACAGAGGUAGCGUAAGAGGAGAGAGAGGAGGCACAGUGGGAGGAAAAAAGAAACAAGGAACAAUGGUCAGCCUUCCCAGGAGUGGCCGGCCUAAAAAGAUUACCCUAAGAGAACAGCAAUGACUCAUCAGGAGGCCAGAAAGGAACUCAGAAGUUGUUCUGAAGAUCUGCAGGCCUCCCUUGCCUCAGUUAAGGCCUGGCUGGCUGAAUACAUCACAGAUCUCCCACGGGGCGACAAGGCCGGCCUCACCACCACAAGAGACAAUUGGAUGACGGGGACGGAUUUAAGAGAAUGCGUCAUCAUUAGAGGCAUUAGCAUUAUCUUGACUUCAAAAACAUUAUAACGGUAUUACCAUUACUCUCUGUAUUAGUGAGAUGAGUAUACAUAUUGGUGGGGGCAACGGUCAAGUUUUGUGGUCAUAAUGGCAAAAAUGUCUAAGUGACAAAUGGAGAGAUUAAAAAUGUCAGGCUACA